rnacentral:rRNA from 1 species
AUUGAACGCUGGCGGCAGGCUUAACACAUGCAAGUCGAACGAGCGGCGGACGGGUGAGUAAUGCUUGGGAAUCUACCUUAUGGAGGGGGAUAACUACUGGAAACGGUAGCUAAUACCGCGUACCAUAAGAUGAGCCCAGGUGGGAUUAGGUAGUUGGUGGGGUAAUGGCUCACCAAGCCGACGAUCCCUAGCUGGUCUGAGAGGAUGACCAGCCACACUGGGACUGAGACACGGCCCAGACUCCUACGGGAGGCAGCAGUGGGGAAUAUUGCGCAAUGGGGGCAACCUGACGCAGCCAUGCCGCGUGAGUGAAGAAGGCCUUCGGGUUGUAAAGUUCUUUCGGUGAGGAGGCGUUACCCACAGAAGAAGCACCGGCUAACUCCGUGCCAGCAGCCGCGGUAAUUC